CCUACGGGAGGCAGCAGUGAGGAAUAUUGGUCAAUGGACGCGAGCCUGAACCAGCCAAGCCGCGUGAAGGAAGACUGCUCUACGAGUUGUAAACUUCUUUUGUAAAGGAAUAAAGUGAGGCACGUGUACCUUUUUGUAAGUAUUUUAUGAAUAAGGAUCGGCUAACUCCGUGCCAGCAGCCGCGGUAAUACGGAGGAUUCGAGCGUUAUCCGGAUUUAUUGGGUUUAAAGGGAGCGUAGAUGGGUUGUUAAGUCAGGUGUGAAAGCCUGCGGCUCAACCUUAAAAUUGCAAUUGAUACUGGCCGUCUUGAGUACAGUUGAGGUAGGCGGAAUUUGUGGUGUAGCGGUGAAAUGCUUAGAUAUCACGAAGAACACCGAUUGCGAAGGCAGCUUACGAAACUGCCACUGACAUUGAGGCUCGAAAGUGUGGGGAGCAAACAGGAUUAGAUACCCCGGUAGUC
rnacentral:rRNA from 1 species